AUUGAACGCUGGCGGCAGGCCUAACACAUGCAAGUCGAGCGGAGCGGCGGACGGGUGAGUAAUGCCUAGGAAUCUGCCUGGUAGUGGGGGAUAACGUCCGGAAAAGGGCGCUAAUACCGCAUACUAUCAGAUGAGCCUAGGUCGGAUUAGCGAGUGGGGGGGGUAAAGGCCUACCCAGGCGACGAUCCGUAACUGGUCUGAGAGGAGGAUCAGUCACACGGGAAUGGGUACACGGUCCAGACUCCGACGGUAGGCAGCAGUGGGGAAUAUUGGACAAUGGGCGAAAGCCUGGUCCAGCCAGGCCGCGUGUGUGAAGAAGGUCUUCGGAUUGUAAAGCACUUUAAGUUGGGAGGCGUUACCAACAGAAUAAGCACCGGCUAACUUCGUGCCAGCAGCCGCGGUAAUUC
rnacentral:rRNA from 1 species